GGACUUCGGCGCGCGCCGGAAGCACGUGCGCGGGCUGGGCGCUCUGGCGGUGUGCGCUGAGGCUCCUGAGUAUAACAGAUUGGUUCUGAUUAAAACCAUUUCAGAGGAAAGACAGUGAUCCCAGGAAGCGGGAAGAAAACAGCAUCACCUGAAGUUAUUCCUAUUCGUUAGAUUUGUUUUCUUCCUGCGAAAAACUGCUAUGUACAAGAAAGAAGUCAGUGAGCUGCAGUGAUAGUUAGCAUUAUUGACUGAAACUGGACCAGAGAUCCCUGAAACCUGGACAAGGUGGUAGAAAUACAAAUUAUGCUGCCAUUUCAAAGCUGUGGGCAGUUUUCUACUUUGUGGAAAAUGAAGACUUAGGUAGGCCUUUGGGAAAGACGAUUUGUUUUGGAAAAACCACCCAAAGGGAUCAUUUGGUUUGCAAAUGUAACUGCAGUAUCACAACUGGAAGAAGAAAUAUACAAGGGCGAGGUUUGAAGGAGCCCUUCAGUAUCCUUGGAUGAUACUGUGGAAGAUUCUUUGCAUCUCAGUAACUUUGGAUCUUUGAAGAUCCAAGAAAAUAAAUUUCUUCAAAAUAUUUUUAGAGACUGCUUUGAUUCUGAGGCACUGCUGAUUAUAUGGAAGAAAAAAAUAUUGGAAGAUUAAUUUGUGGUUUUCUCCAGUUAUCGUCUCCCUUCUCUUUGGGGGAGGUUUGUGACGCAGUAAAAACAGAUAUACAAAAGCCUAGGCAUGUUAGAGAUUUGCCUAAGGGAAAUGUAAUUAUGAAGAAGGAUUUUUUCAAGCUGAAACUAGAUCCCACUUUUUUCCAGGUCAGUGGGUCCUUCAAGUAUCUGGUACUUUCCUUCCUGCUUCCUGACAAUGUUAAAGAAUGUGGCAUGACCUUACAUUUAAUGCCCAACGUGAGGAGCCCUGGGGCUUGAUGCAUGAGAUUCUUGGAGCUAGGCCUGGUGGAGGGCACUGGUCACAGCCUCGGUGGAAUGGUGACUUUCUUUGGUAACUGGAAUUGAAGAAAAUGAGUGGACUUGUGUCUGAGCACUUGGGAACUCAGCAAUCCCUGGGUGUUACCUUGAGAAGGAGCCAAAUUCCAGACAUACAAGUGGAGACUUGAAAAUGGAAGCUCAAUUCCACACCCAGGCUGGUGGAGACUAUGACAUAUAACUCACAUCUUCAAGAAAGUAGACACCUCAGAGGUCACUGGGCCACUUUACCUUCCACUGUCAAAACUAUGUCCAUGAUCAGAUACCUCUGUUGCUAGGGAAUAUUCAGUCAGAAUGGGCUAGAUUAACUGCAGUAAUGCAGAUCUCUCAACCCAUUUAUGACUUACGCAGCAAAGUUCCUCGCUCAGACUACCUGUCCACUCCCACGAGCAGAGACUUGCUCAUGGGCCCUCCUAGACCCAGGCUGACCGAGUGUGUUUUAUCUAAAUGCAUCUCCACAAUCACUCAGCAUCUGUCCCAGUGUCAGGCACAUUUUAGGUGCCCAACAAACAUCUGUGGAAUGAAUGAAUGAGUGCUGGCACCACCUAUAAGCACACAGUAAGGAUAACCAUGGAGAGAAUAUGCCGAGCCUUUUAAUCAGCCCAGAAGAGCGCCUUCUGUGUUAAGGCGAAAUGCCAGAAUCCCAAGGAACAGAUUCACCACCCAGGGGCGGGACUCAGGGACUGCUGAUACUGAGGCUGCCCUGUGGGUUUUCCUUCCAGAUCCCUUCUUGAUUUGCCCAAAAGAAUUUCACGUUUUGUUUCAGUUAAGGAGAGGCCUUUCCUUACUGCUGACUUUAAGGAAACUGGAAAUUGUGCUUGUGGGGGAAGUGGCUUUGGAACUUGGGGCCUCUUUGGGACCUGGUAGGCAAUGGGGUUUGGGGGCAAGUUUGUGGGACAUGUGUCUGAACAGGAAGGAAGGGAGGAGCAGUGGGGCCAGCCAGGAAGCAGUGCCGAAUGCAGAUUUCUCUUCUUGUGCAGCUUUGCUUAGAGUUGAACAUUACUUCCCAGAGAUAGAUUGACCCCAAUCCUGCAGAGAUUGGCUAUCCUGCUCUUCAACUUAUUUUUAGAUAUAUGGUCUCACUUGAAUCUCACAUCCAAUGAGGAGUUCCUGACCCCUCAAUUUAGCUCCACCUGGCAUUCCAGAGCAAUUCAAGGACCUGGUAGGGCUACUAGCAAUCCACUGCUACAUAUAGGGGAACAAUGAGUUUUAAAGCUGCUCAGAAAUCUGUGAUUCGAGUAUCAGGAAAUCCUUGACUCUUUAUCAAAUGUGAAGUUGCUGAUUUAAGAAAUAAAGUUAAGAAACAAUAUUCAUUAACAGAAUGGAAUUUAAUGCAACCGCUGGUGUUUUGGGGUUAUUUUCUGGUCACAUAGUGCCCCCUGGUGGGUUCACUGACAUACUCUUCUGGAAUGCUCCUUUCCCAGGCUGUGCUUUGUGACAAGGCCAGCACCAGCAGGGUGAUUCCAAGAAUUUGCAGUUUAGGCACAGUCCAACGAUGCUCUAAAGAUUGUCUGUUAAGGGAAAAUAUGAGUUAUGAAAAUGCUGUGGGUUGUACUGUAUCCCCCACCAAAAGAUACGUUAAAGUCCUAAGCCCCAAUACCUGUGAAUGCAGACUUAUUUGGAAAAAGGGUCUUUGCAGAUGUAACUAUGAAACUAAGGUGAGGUCAUUAGGGCAAGCCCUUAAUCCAGUAUGACUGUGUUCUUAUAAGAGGAGGAGAGGCUGGGUGCAGUGGCUCACACCUGUAAUCCCAGCGAUUUGGGAGGCUGAGGCGGGAGGAUCGCUUGAGCCCAGGAUUUGCUGGGCAACAUAUCGAGACCCCAUCUCUACUAAAAAUUUAAAAAUUAGCCAGACAUGGUGGCACGCAGCUGUAGUCUCACCUACUUGGAAGGCUAGUGGGAGGAUGGCUUGAGCCCAGGAGUCCGAGGCUGCAGUGAGCUAUGAUCAUAUCAAUGCACUCCAGUCUGGGCAACAAGGGAGACCCUGACUCAAAAAAACAAAACAAAAACAAAACAAAACAAAACAAAAAAAGAGGAGGAGAGAGACACACAAGGAGAGAAUGCCAUGUGACAAUGGAGACAGACACUGGACUGAUGCACCUGCAGACCGAGGAAUGCGCAAGGAUUGCCAGCAGCCCCCAGAAGCCAGGAGCGGGACAUGGAAUAGAGUCUCUCUCAACCCCUCAGAAAGUUCUAAUCCUGCUGAUGCCUUGAUUUUGGACUUCAGCGUCCAGAACUGUGAGAUGAGAUAUGUUUGUUGCUUAAGCCUCCCGGUUUAUGCUGCUUUGUGAUGGCAGCCCAAGCAGACGAAUACAGAAAGAAAUGGGGAUUUGAGUUGGAAGAACUGCUUUGAGUCCCAGCUACCACUUAGUACCUGAAUGACCUUGGGCAAAGAAGUUCAAUUUUUCUGAGCCUCAGUUUUAUAAACUGCAAAAUGGAGAAAUACAAAAGUAACUGUUCUCCUGCCUCAGG
rnacentral:lncRNA from 1 species